UACGAAGGGUGCAAGCGUUACUCGGAAUUACUGGGCGUAAAGCGUGCGUAGGUGGUGGUUUAAGUCUGCUGUGAAAGCCCUGGGCUCAACCUGGGAAUUGCAGUGGAUACUGGAUCACUAGAGUGUGGUAGAGGGAUGCGGAAUUUCUGGUGUAGCAGUGAAAUGCGUAGAGAUCAGAAGGAACAUCCGUGGCGAAGGCGGCAUCCUGGGCCAACACUGACACUGAGGCACGAAAGCGUGGGGAGCAAACAGGAUUAGAAACCCCCGUAGUCC
rnacentral:rRNA from 1 species